rnacentral:rRNA from 1 species
UACAGAGGUCUCAAGCGUUGUUCGGAUUCAUUGGGCGUAAAGAGCUCGUAGGCGGUCUGUUGCGUCCGCUGUGAAAACUCGGGGCUUAACCCCGAGCCUGCAGUGGAUACGGGCAGACUAGAGGUAGGUAGGGGAGAAUGGAAUUCCCGGUGUAGCGGUGAAAUGCGCAGAUAUCAGGAAGAACACCCGUGGCGAAGGCGGCUCUCUGGGACGGUACUGACGCUGAGACGCGAAAGCGUGGGGAGCGAACAGG